GGCAUGCUUAACACAUGCAAGUCGAACGGUAACAGGUCUUCGGAUGCUGACGAGUGGCGGACGGGUGAGUAACGCGUAGGAAUCUGCCCAUCUGUGGGGGAUACCAGUUGGAAACGACUGUUAAUACCGCAUAAUAUCUGCGGAUUAAAGGUGGCCUUUGCGCUGCCGCAGAUGGAUGAGCCUGCGUUGGAUUAGCUAGUUGGUGGGGUAAGGGCCUACCAAGGCUACGAUCCAUAGCUGAUUUGAGAGGAUGAUCAGCCACAUUGGGACUGAGACACGGCCCAAACUCCUACGGGAGGCAGCAGUGGGGAAUAUUGGACAAUGGGGGAAACCCUGAUCCAGCAAUGCCAUGUGUGUGAAGAAGGCUCUAGGGUUGUAAAGCACUUUAGUUGGGGAGGAAAGCCUGUGAGUUAAUAGCUUGCAGGAAGGACGUUGCCCAAAGAAUAAGGACCGGCUAACUCCGUGCCAGCAGCCGCGGUAAUACGGGGGGUCCGAGCGUUAAUCGGAAUUACUGGGCGUAAAGGGUCUGUAGGUGGUUUGUUAAGUCAGAUGUGAAAGCCCAGGGCUCAACCUUGGAACUGCAUUUGAUACUGACAAACUAGAGUAUGGUAGAGGAAUAGGGAACUUCUGGUGUAGCGGUGAAAUGCGUAGAGAUCAGAAGGAACACCAAUGGCGAAGGCAACAUUCUGGACCAAUACUGACACUGAGGGACGAAAGCGUGGGGAUCAAACAGGAUUAGAUACCCUGGUAGUCCACGCUGUAAACGAUGAGUACUAGCUGUUGGAUUCGGUGUAAAGGAUCUAGUGGCGCAGCUAACGCGUUAAGUACUCCGCCUGGGGACUACGGCCGCAAGGCUAAAACUCAAAGGAAUUGACGGGGACCCGCACAAGCGGUGGAGCAUGUGGUUUAAUUCGAUGCAACGCGAAGAACCUUACCUGGUCUUGACAUCCUGCGAACUUUCUAGAGAUAGAUUGGUGCCUUCGGGAACGCAGUGACAGGUGCUGCACGGCUGUCGUCAGCUCGUGUUGUGAAAUGUUGGGUUAAGUCCCGCAACGAGCGCAACCCCUAUUGAUAGUUACCAUCAUUAAGUUGGGUACUCUAUUGAGACUGCCGCUGACAAGGCGGAGGAAGGUGGGGACGACGUCAAGUCAUCAUGGCCCUUACGACCAGGGCUACACACGUGCUACAAUGGGUAUUACAGAGGGCUGCGAAGGUGCGAGCUGGAGCGAAACUCAGAAAGGUACUCUUAGUCCGGAUUGCAGUCUGCAACUCGACUGCAUGAAGUCGGAAUCGCUAGUAAUCGC
rnacentral:rRNA from 1 species